rnacentral:rRNA from 1 species
CCUACGGGGGGCAGCAGUGGGGAAUAUUGCACAAUGGGGGAAACCCUGAUGCAGCGACGCCGCGUGAGCGAAGAAGUAUUUCGGUAUGUAAAGCUCUAUCAGCAGGGAAGAAAAUGACGGUACCUGAGUAAGAAGCCCCGGCUAACUACGUGCCAGCAGCCGCGGUAAUACGUAGGGGGCAAGCGUUAUCCGGAUUUACUGGGUGUAAAGGGAGCGUAGACGGCAGUGCAAGGCUGGAGUGAAAGGCGGGGGCUCAACCCCCGGACUGCUCUUGAAACUGUACGGCUGGAGUGCAGGAGAGGGAAGUGGAAUUCCUAGUGUAGCGGUGAAAUGCGUAGAUAUUAGGAGGAACACCAGUGGCGAAGGCGGCUUACUGGACUGUAACGGACGUUGAGGCUCGAAAGCGUGGGGAGCAAACAGGAUUAGAUACCCCGGUAGUC